GUCACUGUACGGGUAGUGGCCCUGGUGCAGGAGGCCCUCCUUCGCCUCGUAGGUGCCGGGCGCGGUGGGGUUGAGACGGAACUCGUGGCGGUACUCGCGCUCCUCGUCGAGCUGCUCGGCGUAGCGGCGAAUGAUCACGACGAUAUAGAGGUCAAUUAGCCACUGAACGACGGCGAAGACGGUGUUGCCGAUCUUCUGGCCUGUGGUGAGGUUGGAGGUCACACAUGACUGGACGUUAUCAAUCGUCACGCAGAGCGGCUUGUGGCUGAAGGUCGCGUAGAGCGAGAAGCCAGUCGCGACCGUGCCGAGGAUAAAGAUAAUAAUGGUCAGGAAGGAGUAGGUCUUCACCAUGCGGCGGUUGCGGAUGAUCGACCCAACGAAGCCGAAGAAGGACAUAAGAGCAAUGACGGUGAAGACGGCAGCGGCG
rnacentral:misc_RNA from 1 species